GGAGAGGUAGCAUAGUCCGGCCUAAUGCGCACGAUUGGAAAUCGUGUGAGGGUAACACCUCCGAGGGUUCGAAUCCCUCCCUCUCCGCCA
rnacentral:tRNA from 1 species